UACGUAGGGACCAAGCGUUGUUCGGAUUUACUGGGCGUAAAGGGCGCGUAGGCGGCCUUCUAAGUCGAACGUGAAAUCCCUGGGCUCAACCCAGGAACUGCGUCCGAUACUGGAAGGCUUGAAUCCGGGAGAGGGAUGCGGAAUUCCAGGUGUAGCGGUGAAAUGCGUAGAUAUCUGGAGGAACACCGGUGGCGAAGGCGGCAUCCUGGACCAAUAUUGACGCUGAGGAGCGAAAGCCAGGGGAGCAAACGGG
rnacentral:rRNA from 1 species